rnacentral:rRNA from 1 species
AGUGAACGCUGGCGGUAGGCCUAACACAUGCAAGUCGAACGGCAGCACAGUAAGCGCUUGCUCUUACGGGUGGCGAGUGGCGGACGGGUGAGGAAUACAUCGGAAUCUACUUUUUCGUGGGGGAUAACGUAGGGAAACUUCCGCUAAUACCGCAUACGACCUACGGGUGAAAGCAGUGGAUCUUCGGACCUUGCGCGAUACAUUGAGCCGAUGUCGGAUUAGCUAGUUGGCGGGGUAAAGGCCCACCAAGGCGACGAUCCGUAGCUGGUCUGAGAGGAUGAUCAGCCACACUGGAACUGAGACACGGUCCAGACUCCUACGGGAGGCAGCAGUGGGGAAUAUUGGACAAUGGGCGCAAGCCUGAUCCAGCCAUACCGCGUGGGUGAAGAAGGCCUUCGGGUUGUAAAGCCCUUUUGUUGGGAAAGAAAAGCAGCAGGUUAAUACCCCGCUGUUCUGACGGUACCCAAAGAAUAAGCACCGGCUAACUUCGUG